AUUCUGCCCAUGCGGGGAAGGAUGAGAAGCUUCGACUAAGGUUCGACUCGAGCGCCAGCGAGAGAGCAUUGCCGCAGGCAACGACCCGUAGGGCGAAGCGCGCAGCGCUGAGUAAUCCUUCCCCACCACCA
rnacentral:sRNA from 1 species